rnacentral:rRNA from 1 species
ACGGAGGGUCCAAGCGUUAUCCGGAAUUACUGGGCGUAAAGAGUUGCGUAGGCGGUUAAGUAAGUAAUGUGUGAAACUGUGUGGCUCAACCAUGCACCCAUACGUUAAACUGCUUUGACUAGAGAAUGGAAGAGGUUGCUAGAAUUCCUAGUGUAGGGGUGAAAUCCGUAGAUAUUAGGAGGUAUACCGAUGGCGUAGGCAGGCAACUGGUCCAUUUCUGACGCUCAUGCACGAAAGCGUGGGGAGCGAUCGGGA